GAGUUUGAUCUUGGCUCAGGACGAACGCUGGCGGCGUGCCUAAUACAUGCAAGUCGAGCGAAUCACCGGGAGCUUGCUCUCGGCGAUUAGCGGCGGACGGGUGAGUAACACGUGGGCAACCUGCCUGUAAGACUGGGAUAACUUCGGGAAACCGGAGCUAAUACCGGAUCAAUCUUUUCCUCGCAUGAGGAAAAGCUAAAAGACGGUUUCGGCUGUCACUUACAGAUGGGCCCGCGGCGCAUUAGCUAGUUGGUGAGGUAACGGCUCACCAAGGCGACGAUGCGUAGCCGACCUGAGAGGGUGAUCGGCCACACUGGGACUGAGACACGGCCCAGACUCCUACGGGAGGCAGCAGUAGGGAAUCUUCCGCAAUGGACGAAAGUCUGACGGAGCAACGCCGCGUGAGUGAUGAAGGCC
rnacentral:rRNA from 1 species